UAAUUAUUGUGCGUCGGGGAGCCCUGCCCCCUGUUUGCAGGUGAGCAGACGGAGCCGGGCGCUAAGAGGUUGCCCCGGCGGCGUCGGUGACUGCGCUCGGUGACCGCGCGGGGCCGCCGGGACAGACGGAGGGGGCCGGCGGAUGAGGAAACUAGUUCAGCCUGAAGUAGCUGCUUGGGAGCAAGGACCGAGGCUCCGUUUCCUCAUCACGUCCACGGCGUCUGGCACGGAGGCGCUGAUGUUGGCUGAAAUAGUGAAGUGAACCCAGACGCAGCUCGUGUGUGUGACCCGAAGUCCGAGGUUAGCGUUUGCAUGUUGAUCCUUUCCAAGCUAAACAAGAACUAGAGAUUCGUUUUAUUCUUCCUCGAUACCACGAUGCAAGUUUGUGUAGUGUAGAUGUGGGGACAGAGUGACCAGCACGGUACCUUGGCAAAUGGUAGGUGCGCAGCAUUUCUAAGUGCGCCGUUUAUAGCAUUUACCUACGGGCCUGCCAGGCUCUGUGGUAAGGGCUUUACUAAUAGGAGUCAUUGAAUCCUCAGGACAGCCUUGUUACCCCAUUUCACGGAGGACGGAACUGAAGCAUAAAGAAGUUAAGUAAUUUGCCCAAGGACACACAACUAGUAGAGAAUCAAGAAUAAAAAGACCCAGGCAGCCUGGUGCCAGAGUUGGUGCUCUGAAUGCCGGAUGUUCCUUCUGCUGCUGAAUAAAGAAGAGCGAAGCCAAGUUCCAAGUCCGGGAGGAUACUGAGCGUAAUGUGUAAAAUUGAUGGAAGACUUGAAUAGCUAAAGGAAAGACUUGAAAUUUGGUAAGAUGAGGAUGUGAAUUAAAUUCACACCCAGUGAUCUUGCAUAGCCCAAGCUCCUGCCAGCAUCCAGUUUGUAGCCCCUCUUUGAAGCCCCAUCUCUAAGUGUCCAGAGUAGAUGCUUUGGGAGAUUUUCUAGACUGCCGUUGUCAGAUGUCUCAACAAGAAGGAGAUGCUUUAGUAUUCCUGGAAGGAGAGGAACAGAAAAGGGGUGGGCGUUAGAGACCUGCCCUCAGAGAAGCUGUUUUUUUCAUCUGCUCCCUUGAACUCUGCUUUGCCCUCCAGCUCAGUGGGACACGGCAGCUUUUAAAGAGCCUGCCUUGGGCUCAGCUCUGUCCCGGCAGACUUUGCAGACUCUUGAAUAAAGACGGUAAAGCAGGCAACUGGCCCUCCUAGGACCCUUCCCUAUAUUUAUGGCCUCUACUUGUGGAGGCAUCCUUCUUGGUUUGGGGAGGUCAUGUUACUGUGCCGUAAACUAUCUGGUUCAGUAUGUGCAUAGAGGAGGACUCUCGGAGGUCUAUAGAGCUUUCCCAAUUAUUAUUGUUUCUACCCAUAAUUUACAAAAAAAACGAACCGAAAAAUACCAAAGUGUAACUCAGUAAGAUUCAAAUCCUGGGGGCUCUAAAACGUCUACGUUUUCUUCCACGAUGAGAUUCCAUGGUUGGUCCCUGAAUGACACAUUUUCUCACACAACGCCUAUUGUGGUGUUUUGCUCUGAUGAAGGAUUAAAGGAGAUAUUUUGUCCCUGUCCUUGCCUGUCAUCUUUCAGAGUCACCUCUCUCUCCGCUGGCAUGGAGGGAACCUUCCGAACAAGGAGACGUGAACAAGGAGACUCGUAAGAGGCAGUUACUUAGCCCGAGGUCGUUGAGGUUCAAUAUAUCUGUUCCACAAAGUAAUUAUCCUAUGGGUGAUUCCGUUAAGAAGUUACUAACAUUAGGCUGUGACUUCAUGAUGCCACAAUGACAGCAACAAUUACUUUAAGAAGCUAAUGUUAAACUAAUCAAAAUCCUAGGUUUAUUUUGAAGUUACGUAGAUGUGGCAAAGCCUGGGUGGGUUCAGAUAUUCAGCAUAUUCUCCAACAAAUAGUUGUGAAUGGAUCAUAGGUAGUUAAUCUACACCUUCCUCCAUUAGGUUGUAAGUUCUUAUCAGGGCAGUUUUGCUAAAAUGGGGGAGCCGAAGUCUUAUGUGUCAGAUCUAUGCAGUGCCAACUAAAUCUGGCUGAGAGCAGUUGUCUUGAAUGGCAGCAACCUCUCAUCACAGAGCCAGUUUGAAUAGUUGAGAGGGUCCAUGCUCUCCUGAGUUUAUGUUGACAGACUUGUCAAAAAGGACACGGAAAGCAAGGUGCGCAGGGAGCUCUGGCUGAGCGUGAGGUCGCUCAGGACAAACCUCCUGGAGAUGCUCUCAGCCCAAUCCUGUGUCUGCUAGCAUCACAUCAGAAAGCUGGUGGCCUCACCGAGUGUCUGCCGUUUAUCCUCAGGCAGAACUGUGAUUAAUCCAUUCCAAACACGUAAACAUCCAGAAACAACAACAAAGAAAGAAAACUCCAGGCGAGGAGAUUUAGCCCUCCCUCAGGAGCUCCUGUCAAUGUUUUAAAGGACUUAGGGGUCUUUUCCUUUAAGUAACCAAAAUCCCUCGUAUGGCUACUUCUGCCAGUUCCCCAGAGGAGCUGGAGAACAUCUGGUGACCACAUCUGUGUUAAACCCUUUAUGUGCUCUCAAACUAUUAUUUGAUUCAGAAUAAAUUUCUUUAUCAUGUGUAAGAUUUCCCAUAACAUUAGACUCCAGAUUAAUCAUUUCUCUUGUCAAAAAAUGAUGGCCCCAAUUAUUAAAACAUGAUGGUGGUUGUGAAUGAGCAAAAUAAAUUUGUCUGAAGUGAAUGACGUAAUGAAUUUUUUAAAAAGCUUUCAUGUCUGCAAAAUAAAAGAGUAUUUAUAUAUAGAAGGUCCAUUUAUCUUCUGUGAAAAGUCUCUUUUGCAACUGAAUGAAGCAGAAAACAGGUUCAAAAGUCUCCUUUGGAAAAACAACAGAGCCAUGUGUUUCCAUUUCAAAGGGAUUGAGUUUUGGGGUGAUUCAGUUAACUUUGGUCAUUUUGAAACCCUUAAUGAAAAUAAUUCCCAUUACCCUCAUAGGACAUCAUGCAGAAAUAUAAAGAGCUAAUACAAGAAACCUUACAAAACAUUACACAGUGUUUACUACUGUGUAAAUCAGAGCAAAACAGGACCAAGUUAUUAGUGUUUUACAUUUUAAAUAAAACUCAGUAAUGUUUUCAAACACCCAAAUGAGAUCUUCUAGUUACGAGGCUGUAUAAGGAAGGCAGUACUGACAGCAAAUGUAAUGUUAGUGAUAAAACAAGUUCGUAUUCUUACUGUUUCAUAUCUUUGAGGGAAAUGGAAUUAAAGGCAAAUUAUCCCAUUUUGGAGGGUUCCUCCGAUGUGGAGUUUGCACGUUGACUGUACAGGGAGACUCUCCACUGUACGUUUCCGUCAUUGUUCGGCUGCUCUCCCCCGAAAGUUGCUAGGGUCCUCUGCAAAGAUUGUAAAGGCUGCUUUGUUGGCAGCCUGGGAUGCAUCCGUGCCCUCACCAAAGUGGAAGUGAAAGCUCUCAGUUUUCCUUCUUUCUUUUUUUUUUUGCAACAGUAAAUCUACUAAUUUUACAGUCAGUUGCACAACAAUAGGUUAAUUUGUGUGAAGUCUGCGUUCACAAAGAAAACCCAAACUUCAGGGGCUUGAAUGCCUGGAACUGCAGUGUGAUCGCUGAAGGGUAGACUCGCUCCCAACUUGCUCUGGAAGGAUGCGGAUAGCCCACUGUCACCUGCUCUUCCGCACAGGUGCUGACCCCUCGGUCGAUGCAGGGCCUCCUGAUGGGGUAGCAGGAAGGCUGGGCUUUUGUGUGCCACAGAGAACGCUUUUGCAAGGACUGGGCUGGUUUUCUCCAGCAGCCACAGGAAGCAGAAGAAAGAAAAGAGUAAGGGCCACUGUGAGGGUCAGAGUGGGUUAAAUUUAGUUAACAUCAGAGGUUAUAGCUUUUAACAAGAACUUCGAGAAAACUUAUUCGAAGAUGCAAUUUGGUUCUUCUUUGUCAACUUUUCUUUUUUUUUACCCUAUUGAUCGUGACGGCUUAACAAAGUUUUUAUAUGCUAGAGGUUUUCGUCCUUUAGGGAAUAAAGGACUGUGUUCCUAAAAAGAGAUGCAGGUGGAGAACCUUAUUAUAAAGCUUCCAUGAUUUUCAAAUUGGGAGCUUUAAAAUAGUCUCCCUGCUUGACUAAGUCAAAAAUAAUUUGUGAGGGUUGUUGAAAAAAAUCCCCAUUAGAAAUGGAGGAAUGUUUCAGCAGUCAAAUGCAGAGGCUCAGUUUUCUAGAAGCUUCUUUGUGUGUAUCUUAUUUUCAACCAUUCUAGUAUAGUUUUCCCAGUUGUUAUUCACAAUUACCAAAGAGGCCUCUUAAGUUUCCAUAUGUGCAUUUCUUUAAAUUUAGAGCGUAAUAUUGGACAGAACUAGUUGCUUAUUGUAUUUCUAUGUAAGCAAAAAAGAUGGCCACAGAUUUCUGUGUAUGUCAUUUAUACUCUUGUCAUUCUGUUACUCCACAUUUUCUGUUCAAGGACUGAAUUGUUAUGGAAAUUGGUCUUUCAAAAGGGAGUCGUGUAAACUCGAGCCUUUCGAUUGGAAACUCACACCUUUCAAAAGGUGUGAUUACCCAGGACUGACCGAUGUUGAGUGUCUUGCCUCAUAGGAAGGCCUCAUGUAUUAUUUAGCUUCAUUUCUACGAUAAAUAAGAGGCUUGACUUUUUUGGAGGGACUGUAUGCGUUCAUUUAGCUGAGGUUUUAGAAUGCUGGGCUUGGAUUUCCAAGCCUUGUUUUCUAUCCGAUGGCGAGCAGGGUAAGCGGAAGGUACACAUCUGAGUGCUGUACUGUAAUUUGCAUUUGACAGCGUGUUUGUUUUAGGUAGGGUGAGGACUCAGUUGUUAUUUGGGAAAUAAGAUGAUUUGUAUAUGAGAAUCUUCUGGAUACCUAAGCUUACCUCUCAAAUGAACACCAAACUUCUUACCAUUUUGAAUAAGAGUAUUUUAUAUGAUGUAUCACAAGCUUUAUUGCUUUCUGAAACGUGGUAUAAUGAAUGUUUUUUUGAAGAAUGGGAUAUCAUUAUGACUAUCCAUAUUAUAUGGUGGUAUAUAAUACCGUCACACCUGUAUUAAAUGCCGCUGCACUGUGUGGCCCAAACUGUCAUAGUUUUUGAAUUGGCAAUUCUACUUUUCAUAGGUUGUGUUACUC